GAAAGCAGGGGAUCGCAAGACCUUGCGCUAUCGGAGCGGCCGAUGUCAGAUUAGCUUGUUGGCGGGGUAAAAGCCCACCAAGGCGACGAUCUGUAGCUGGUCUGAGAGGACGACCAGCCACACUGGGACUGAGACACGGCCCAGACUCCUACGGGAGGCAGCAGUGGGGAAUUUUGGACAAUGGGCGCAAGCCUGAUCCAGCCAUGCCGCGUGCGGGAAGAAGGCCUUCGGGUUGUAAACCGCUUUUGUCAGGGAAGAAACGCUCCGGGUUAAUACCUCGGAGUAAUGACGGUACCUGAAGAAUAAGCACCGGCUAACUACGUGCCAGCAGCCGCGGUAAUACGUAGGGUGCAAGCGUUAAUCGGAAUUACUGGGCGUAAAGCGUGCGCAGGCGGCUUUGCAAGACAGAUGUGAAAUCCCCGGGCUUAACCUGGGAACUGCAUUUGUGACUGCAUGGCUGGAGUGCGGCAGAGGGGGAUGGAAUUCCGCGUGUAGCAGUGAAAUGCGUAGAUAUGCGGAGGAACACCGAUGGCGAAGGCAGCCCCCUGGGCUGGCACUGACGCUCAGCACGAAAGCGUGGGGAGCAAACAGGAUUA
rnacentral:rRNA from 1 species